AAGGACGGGGGAGGACCUCUGCUUCCGGCGCCGUAACUGCUGCCAUCUUCUCCGCGCUAUGGCUGCGUUCAGCCGUCAGGGAAAUUAAAGAGGGUGCUUUACUGUUGCCCUGAAAUUUUCACCAUGCGCCAGCAGGACAUUAAUGACACUGUCAGGCUUCUCAAGGAGAAGUGCCUUUUCACGGUACAGCAAGUCACCAGGAUUUUGCACAGUUGCCCCUCUGUUCUUCGAGAGGACCUGGGUCAACUGGAAUACAAGUUUCAGCAGCCUCGUCUUACAGCGUGACUGCAAAGAAAAAGACUUUUGUUUUGCAAAAGAAAAGCAGCUUGGUGACUCCGUCCACAUCGCCACAGUUGAGUCAGAUGGCAGUGGCAGUCCUUUGCCAGUGGAAGGAGUUCCUGCUUAGGGGAGGUGCAGGAGAACUAAUUUAUUAUUGUGCAACUGCCAGUCCUGCGCAUUCCAGCUACGCUAAGUGCCCUGCCCAGGCAUGUAACAAAACAUAGACCUGUUUUGAAGUGGCUUGUUACCCAAGGGUGCCUCACUCUCAUCUGCACCACCAGGAAGGUGAACUGUGAGGGCUCCUAUAAGGGGCAGGAGGAGCAAAGCUGUCUUAGGCCAACCAGAGAUUCAUCUUUCAUGCAGUGACAUGUUGAUAAAAAAUGAUGGUCAGUAUGAAACUGGUAACAGGUUGUAGAUGGCUUUCUAUGGUACAUCCCAGUCUCUUGCAAACGAUUGUGAAGAAUGCCAGUGUUGUUUAAGAUUCAGCAGUUUGUGUGGGGAGGUGGGGGCAGGAUGGGGGUUUGGUUGCCAAAAGAGUUUGGGAAAUGCUAGCUUAAACAAAAACGAGAGAAAGUUCCUUUCAUGUCAGGAUUUAUGAAUGCCUAUGAGUCUAGUGUCAGUGACGACUUUCUAGUGACGGUCUUCAAGACUUUCUAAAUAUUAAGUGAUCAAGGCCCCUGCCCCACUUUUAGUUCCAAUAGAAUGCCAUUCACAAGAUCUGGGAGGCACUCUCUUAGCCCUCUCCUGGAGCCCCCGGAAUUUCUCAGCAGCCCAGGCCCUCCCGCUGCCCGUGGCCCCUCCUCCCAGGUGCCAGGUGGUCUUCCAGCCUCUCCAAGGGCCCACCCCCCUGCCUCUUCCUCCCACUGCAGCUGAUCUAGGGGUUUCUGGGCCACAUUUCCCUUGAGAGAGAGUGGGAUUUGCCCUAUCCACAGAGAGCCUCAUUUCCACCUGAAGGUGUAUUCGUCAGUGGCUAGACCAGGUUCAUCUCUGUUUCCCCUUGGGGACUUCUGAAACCUUCCUGCCCGGGAGUCUGUAACACAGCAGCACAGGACCGCACUUCCUUUAGCAGUGCUGAGUAAGCAGGCAGCGGCACUCUGAGAGCCCGGGGCUGGGCAGUCGCCCCCCACUUCCCAGCAGCUCUGUGGUAGUGGGGCGGGAGCAGCAGGGACGUACCUUAAGAUUUCUCCAGUGUCUGACUCUUACUUUGUUUCCUGAAAUAAUUAGAGAAAAGUCGUUUAAUGAAAAAGAGACUGUGUACCUUGAAUUCUACAGCUACCUCAGUCCAGGCUGCCUGCUGAGAUCCUGUCUUUAGCUCACAUACAUUCCGCGGUGGGGGACACCAUUAGUUCAGACACUGCUGUGGAGAUUAGCAUUUUAGUUUGUGUGCGCCCGCCUGGCUUGAGGCAGUAGUUUAGGAAUGACAAGGCUAGAAACCUGGCUGGCUGUGAGUCAGAGAGAGAGAGGACGGACGUGGGAGAAAGCAAGCAAAAGCUACCCUAGGGAAGAGCCAGUGACAUGCACAGGCCGAGCAGCACGGCUGGUGAGCUGCAGGCUGCGGCCUUGCCCGGACACUUGGUAAUGCCAAACAAGUACGUGUGGCUACUCAUUGGUCUAUGAGGACGAUGACAGGCUUCGACUCUGUGGUUUCUAAAGCAUAUAAUAUUCUCACGUACUUCUUUCAGCAAACCCCAAACAGUAGUAAUUCUUGUAACUACCUUGAACCCUUUGUGGAAAGAACCUGGGUGUGAGUGAAUAAAAAGUAAAGAGCGAUGUGCUAUAUUGGCCAUUAAAUACUCGGGGCUGUCAGUAACACCCUGUGCUUCCCAAUUGUAGCACCAUGUUCUGUGUGAAUAUGCAUAACCAGAGUGACCCCCCCCCCAGCACCCAGCAUGCCCGGCUGUGCCCCUCUGGGUAUGCUCACAUGCACAUAUAUGGACAUACAGUUUCGUAGCAGAACAUGGCUGCCCAGGGGCUGCCUAUCUGGGCGAGUAGACCGCCUGGCUCAGCCCACAGGCCUGCAGCAUCCCAUAGCACUGCCGCCCUUGCCCCAUCACCCUGUGGGCUACAUGCAGGACACGGCAUGGGCCUGCUCCCCAGAGGCACCUGUUUGGGGUCUUCUUGAGGCUUGUGCUUUCACAGCUCUCUUUGAAGCAGAUGUCUUGGUGAACUCUGUAGACUCUUUUAUACCUGUUGUCACAAGAAAGCUUUGUAAAACCAGACAAUGAAGCAAAAUGUUGCCAACUGCUUAACCUAGGCUAUGUGAACCCACAGGUAAACCUGAAGGUGUUUGAGGGAAAAGCUGCUAUUUUCUGAAUGAAACAUGACCUCCUAUUGAUGUAUUAAAAUGUCUAACAU
rnacentral:sRNA from 1 species